GUAUCGAAUGAAAGGAGAGAAUAUUAGCUCCAUCCUUGACAAGAAUGUAAGAUGAGAAAAAAUGAUACAAGUGACAUUCAACACACAUAUGUCAUCAUGAAUGGAAUGCCUGAAAGGUUGUAGAAAGUAUGAAUGAUUUUUU